rnacentral:rRNA from 1 species
AGAUUGAACGCUGGCGGCAUGCCUUACACAUGCAAGUCGAACGGUAGAGUAGCAAUACUUGAGAGUGGCGAACGGGUGAGUAAUAUAUCGGAACGUGCCCAGUCGUGGGGGAUAACGUAGAGAAAUUUACGCUAAUACCGCAUACGAUCUACGGAUGAAAGCGGGGGAUUCGCAAGAACCUCGCGCGAUUGGAGCGGCUGAUAUCAGAUUAGGUUGUUGGUGAGGUAAAAGCUCACCAAGCCGACGAUCUGUAGCUGGUUUGAGAGAACGACCAGCCACACUGGGACUGAGACACGGCCCAGACUCCUACGGGAGGCAGCAGUGGGGAAUAUUGGACAAUGGGCGCAAGCCUGAUCCAGCAAUGCCGCGUGAGUGAUGAAGGCCUUCGGGUUGUAAGCUCUUUCGCCCGCGACGAUGAUGACGGUAGCGGGAGAAGACGCCCGGCUAACUCGUGCCAGCAGCCGCGGUAA